UUGUUGUUUUUUUUCUAAACAUUAUACAUAUUUAUCUUUAGAAAAGUCCUGACCACAUAUUACACUCCAGCCAACAAUUCGUUGAGGAAAUCUUUGCUCUCUGAGCGCAGGAACGGAAGUGACCCGAGUAGACUUCAGAGCUAUCUUGCUAAAGGCCUCCAAUCAUGUCCAAGUGGCUUUGUGGUCAGACUGGUCUGUAUGGAUCCUGAAUGUGGUACACGUCCCGCCUACUAUAGGUCACCGCUGAGAAUUAUGGGUGGAGAUGACGUCAAACCAGGGACAUAUCCUUGGAUGGUUUCACUCCAUGGCGGGAGGAAUCAAGUUUUCUUCUGUGGAGCCACAAUUAUUCACGAACAGUGGGUUAUGACAGCUGGUCACUGUGUCGGGGAAGGGUAAGCUGCUUCACUAUUGACUUGAACUGAAGGGAAUUAAAGUACGUGUUGCUAGAACAGAAAGAAUUAGAUCCACGCCAAUGUAUCCUAGCUUCGCUAGCAAGGUUACACAUAGUCAUAGUGCUA
rnacentral:sRNA from 1 species